CAAUAGCGUAUAUUUAAGUUGUUGCAGUUAAAAAGCUCGUAGUUGGAUUUCGGUUAAGAGCGACCGGUCCGCCGUUUGGUGCGCACUGGUUGGUUUUAACUUCCUGUAGAGGACGUGCUCUGGGUUUAACGACCUGGACUCGGAGUCUACGUGGUUACUUUGAAAAAUUAGAGUGUUCAAAGCGGGCUUACGCUUGAAUAUUUCAGCAUGGAAUAACACUAUAGGACUCCUGUCCUAUUUCGUUGGUCUCGGGACGGGAGUAAUGAUUAAGAGGAACAGUUGGGGGCAUUCGUAUUUCAUUGUCAGAGGUGAAAUUCUUGGAUUUAUGAAAGACGAACUUCUGCGAAAGCAUUUGCCAAGGAUGUUUNCAUUA
rnacentral:rRNA from 1 species